CGGACUAAAAUCCGUUGGCUUUUUAGACCGUGAGGGUUCAAGUCCCUCUACCCCUA
rnacentral:tRNA from 1 species